UGCACGCUCCUUAGAUCCAUUUCCGAAAAUCAUAGGAAAUGCUUGAGUCAUAAGUGUGCAAGAUCAUGGUAACUCCGAUGGUUAGCCGUCGUGUUUCACGAUGAUUUCACUUCUUGAUGUGAUUUCAAAGGCUGGCUGUCGGGGAACA